CAGCAGCCACGGGAAUACGAAGGGGGCUAGCGUUGUUCGGAUUUACUGGGCGUAAAGCGCACGUAGGCGGACUUUUAAGUCAGGGGUGAAAUCCUGGGGCUCAACCCCGGAACUGCCUUUGAUACUGGAAGUCUUGAGUAUGGUAGAGGUGAGUGGAAUUCCGAGUGUAGAGGUGAAAUUCGUAGAUAUUCGGAGGAACACCAGUGGCGAAGGCGGCUCACUGGACCAUUACUGACGCUGAGGUGCGAAAGCGUGGGGAGCAAACAGGAUUAGAUACCCCCGUAGUCCCUGUCUCUUAUAA
rnacentral:rRNA from 1 species